GCACAUGCAUGAUCGGAGCGGUGCGGCUCCUUCGGAGAGUACACGAGCGGCGAACGGGUGAGUAACACGUGAGCAAUCUGCCCUUCACUUCGGGAUAACCCUCGGAAACGAGAGCUAAUACCGGAUACGACCACUUCAGGCAUCUGAUGGUGGCGGAAAGUUCCGGCGGUGGAGGAUGAGCUCGCGGCCUAUCAGCUUGUUGGUGAGGUAACGGCCCACCAAGGCAACGACGGGUAGCCGGCCUGAGAGGGUGACCGGCCACACUGGGACUGAGACACGGCCCAGACUCCUACGGGAGGCAGCAGUGGGGAAUAUUGGACAAUGGGCGAAAGCCUGAUCCAGCAACGCCGCGUGAGGGAUGACGGCCUUCGGGUUGUAAACCUCUUUCGCCUGUCACGAAGCGAAAGUGACGGUAGCAGGUAAAGAAGCACCGGCCAACUACGUGCCAGCAGCCGCGGUAAU
rnacentral:rRNA from 1 species